rnacentral:rRNA from 1 species
UUGAAAGGGAAACGAUUGAAGUCAGUCAUACCAACGGGAAAUCAACCUUUUGAGCUCGGUUUCGUGGGUUUUGAAGAGUUUCAAAGCCUUCGGAUUCGCGAGAUUGGGAUCUCUCGGUGUACUUUCUCGUACGGUUAGUCAACAUCGGUUUUGAAUGUCAUAAAAUGACUGGAGGAAUGUAGCUUCGAUCUCGUAUUGAAGUGUUAUAGCCUUUGGUAGAUGUGAUGUUUGAGACCGAGGAUUGCAACGGAUACCCUUCAGGGCUAUUCGUCUGAUCUCUGAUACGUUGCCCUGAUGUUGAAAGCUUGCUUAUGAUGUUAGGGUAUUACGGUCAAAAGGUUAGAACGAAUUACAUUCGUUAAGGAUGUUGACGUA